rnacentral:lncRNA from 1 species
AUCAAGUGUGAAUCCAGCAAAAGGUAAGAACCCCCGUCCGUAUGCGGUCGUGAUGCAGUCAACUUCAGGUGGUAAAAGAGAGCGGAUAUUUCUUUCUGGGCGCUUAUUUCAAGUGAUUGAAAGUGCUUCCUCGACCGCUCGACGUGUAUCGUUAAGGAACAAUCUGGAUAAUAUGUAACUUUUAAUAAAUUAUCAUUCUUGAAAUGCCAACGUUUCGUGAACCUUGCAGUCCACUUCAUCAGGACAAGGAGCAGCUUGGUAGAAGGAGCCUGAUACUGUACGCAGGAGAAACCUUUCAGCCUCUUUUCAAAUAGAAAAAGGAAUUAUGCGUUCUCAGUGUGUAUCCUUAAGAAGAUAAAAGACGUGGAUCAGAUAAUCGCAAAUCAAAGAUCAUAAAAGAGAAGAUUUUAUUAACCUUGCCCGGGGAUAACGGAUGGUUAUAAUUCGUUUGGAAUCGUGGAACAGUUCCGAAAAUAACAUCAAAAUCUGUUUGCAAACUUUUGCAAGGAUCAUCAUUGCGUUUUCUGGUCAGCGAUCAGAUUAUCUCUUAACUUCUAGAUUUUGCCGUCUCGGAACAUUUUAUGUUCCUUAUAUGAUUAUACAUAUAUGGUGCCACAUAUAAUUAUAUCUCACAUAUAAUUACAUACUAUUAUAUACGUCGCUCUUCCUGUCAGUUCCUUUGUAGUUGCUCGAAAAGAGCAAUAGACGGCUUUAUUACUACAUUUUGAGAAAGAAAAAGGAUUGAUGUAUGGAUCUGGCAUGCAGAUUAGCAUAAAACAGUUAUAAGAAUAGCAGUCCCUACAUUCCAUGGCGCGAAGCAUCAUUUUUUUUAAUAGUUGGACAU